GACGAACGCUGGCGGCGUGCUUAACACAUGCAAGUCGAACGGUAAGGCCCUUCGGGGCACACGAGCGGCGAACGGGUGAGUAACACGUGGGUGAUCUGCCCUGCACUUCGGGAUAAGCCUGGGAAACUGGGUCUAAUACCGGAUAGGACUCCUGGCUUCAUGGUUGGGGGUGGAAAGCUUUUGCGGUGGGGGAUGGGCCCGCGGCCUAUCAGCUUGCUGGUGGGGUAAUGGCCUACCAAGGCGACGACGGGUAGCCGGCCUGAGAGGGUGACCGGUCACACUGGGACUGAGAUACGGCCCAGACUCCUACGGGAGGCAGCAGUGGGGAAUAUUGCACAAUGGGCGCAAGCCUGAUGCAGCGACGCCGCGUGAGGGAUGACGGCCUUCGGGUUGUAAACCUCUUUCAGCUAUGACGAAGCGCAAGUGACGGUAGUAGCAGAAGAAGGACCGGCCAACUACGUGCCAGCCGCCGCCGUAA
rnacentral:rRNA from 1 species